CCAAAAAUUUUGAGUAUUACCUGAUUUUCAAUAUUUGUUUGGAACCAGCUGAAAAAAAAAUCAAACUGCACUAGAACUGAACCAAAUCUGAAAAAAAAACGAUUUUGAACCAAAUUUCAUAACUCUUAUCAGUUCACAUAUCUCUAUAUCCAAAAAUAACCAAAACUUUAACCAGAACCGAAAAAAAUCAAACAAUCAAAACCAAAAAUGAAUGUUCAGGCAUACUUAAUGUUUAUUGAUUUUUAAAAAUGACAUUUUACUUCGUAUAUUAUAUAAACUUAUAAGAAUAAUAAGAAAAAAAAUUGAACUUAAAAAAUUAAUGCUACGAGAUCAUAGAUCAAAGUUAUUAACCGAUUUUUCAAAGCUUUUAACUUUUUGAAUAAAGGAAGCUUUGCAGAUGGACAAUCGAGACUCUUCCCAAUUUAAGUAAACAAUGCACAUUGUAAAUUAUAUUAUUAAAUAUUAUUACACUCAUUCAUGUAAAAAGCGUUAAUUCAUCGUAAUCUAUUAUGUUCAUGCACGUUUAUGUCUAAUGUACAAAUAUUACUAAGUUUGUUAGGCAAGAAAUAUUACCACACCUCUAACUUUGUAAAGUAAUUUUUUCUGGUUUCAUUUGAAAUAAAAUUUAUAUAUGAACACUAAUUCAUAAUUAUCAAACAUCAAACAUGGAUUAUUGUUUAUAUAUGGAAAAUUUUAACAAAUGUUUGAAAAUUCAACUUAUGAUACGGAUAAUACUUUAUCUUUGUUCAAUACUGAUAAAUUUAUCAAGUACUGGGAAUAAUAGUAUUCAAACAAUAGCGAAAUAAUGAAAUUAGGAUACUGAAAAAUGUGAAAAAACUAAAGAAAAUGUGCUACUUGCAACUGAGUUGGUAUUUAAAUGAUCAAUUUAUUUUAUCAGUCUCUUCAAAAUCUGUUCAUCUCUUCAUGAGAAACAUGCAAAUAACAUAAUGUUUAUUUUUGUUGAAAGAUGAAUAGUAUUAAUCAACAAAAACAAAAUUUAAGGAUAUGAUAUAAAAUAUCCUAGAAAAUAUUUGAGAACAGUUUUGGCAUUCUAAAAAACAUAGCAAAAUAUAGAAAUAUAUAUCUCAAAAAUAUUUUGAAAACUUGGAAAGUUGAAAAACAAAAACAAAAACAAAAACGGGAUAGCAAGAGAGUCUUCAUCAUGUUACUUCCAAAUGUGCUUAAUGCUCAAUGAGUUCCAUUUAGUAAGCAAAUCAUGGCUUUGCAAUGAAUUCAGCGAUAAAGAUUGAAUACAUGAUGUAUGUUAUUUAAAUUUGUAUAAAUAUUGCAUCUCUUUUCCUGCCUAAAACACUGACACAUGCUAGUUAAAAAAAAAUCAAAUUUUACCCUUGUAAAAAUAAUCAAUUUAUUAUGCAUGCAUAUCUGUUUAUCCCAUAUAAUAGAAUACAUUAUAAAAACAUUUAUUGGUGUUUCUUUGUCAAUCAAUUUUUUUUAUCUCACUCUUGGGGUAUGUUUCCACUUUCACAAAUAUUUGAAGACAUAUUCACAUAUAAAAUUAUUUUUGUUUUUUUAAUAAAGAUAUCACUUCAAAAUUCCAGAAAAAUAAAAAAAAUAUUUACCCUUACAGUUUAUUCAUUGUGAAUUUUUUUAAAGGAAUAUAAUAUGCAAAAACUAUAGAAAAUAAAUUUAUAAUCUUUAUUUUCACUCCAGCUCUUCUUAAAGAAAUGCAUAAAUAAAUAAAAUUAUAAAUAGUUGAAAGAAAACUUUACCUGAUUCUUAUGUGUUUUUUAUUACAUAAUAAACAUUACAAGAUCAUUUCUAAAGUAUUAUGGCAAAGGUUGAAGAUAUGCCUCCCUUCCCUUAUUUUGGAAACUCAAUCGGCAUUUGUGGCUGAAAGCUGAUUUCAGAUAAUAUUCUUAUCACUCGGGAAAUAUUUCAUGGAUUAAGGACCAACAAGUCAUGCCAAAAUAAAUAUAUGGCAAUCAAAACAUAUAUGAGUAAAGCGUAUGAUAGGCUGGAAUGAGAUUAUAUACAGUUCCUUUUACCUACACAAAAUGGCGUUUGAUCCUCACUAAGAUCAAACUAAUGAUGGCAUAUAUAUCCACGGUUCAAUACAUGGUCUUAUUAAAUGGUCUCCCGAAAGGGCAUAUAAUCCCACAUAGAGGUCUGCGCCAAGAAGACCCUUUAUCUCAUAGUGUAUUCAUCAUGUGUAAGUAGGCGCUAAUCGUAAAUAUUAAAAAAAAAUUGAGAGAGAGAGAAAAAAACUAACGGGAAUGAAUAUGGCUAUGGCUUGUCCUCCGAUAUCUCUUUUACUCUUUUCAGAUGACAGCUUAAUUUUUUUUUUGUAAGGCUCAAAGGAUGAGUGUCAAAACAUUCUCAGGAUUUUAAAGGAAUAUGAGGCAGUAUCAAAUCAACUGAUAAUCUUCCAAAAAUCUUCUAUUCAAUUUGGACACAAGAUUGAGGUUUCCUCAAUCGGCAUGAUAUGCAGAAAAUUCUAGGGAUACAUAAUUUAGAAGGGAUUGGAUCGUAUUUAGAAAUACCAGAGAGUCUGGGAGGCUCAAAAAAUACAGGUAUUUGGUUUUAUUCACGAUCGUUUGAACAACAAAGUUAAUGGAUGGACUUUUAAGUUCUUUACCAAAGGAGGAAAGGAAGUAAUUAUAAAUCAGUGGUUUUGGCUUUACCAAGCCAUGUGAUGUCUUGUUUUUGUCUACGAAAGACCGAAUCAAAGAAACUAACGAGUGCGGUAACCCAAUUCUGGUGGAGUCUAUGAGGAAGGACAAAAGGCAUACAUUGGAAAUCAUGGGACAAAUUAUGUCAAAUUAAGAAUGAAGAGGUUUGGGAUUUAAAUAUCUCACGGAUUUUAAUACGGCCAUGGUAAGAAAGAAGUUAUGGCGUUUAAUCGAGAAACCGAAUACUUUCUUCUCUCGGGUUUUCAAGAUCGGUACUUCAGAAAAGCAUCACCCUGGAACCGAUUAGAUCAUACUUCAUAUCAUAUGGCUGGCGUAGUAUUGUCUCUGCUAGAUCUUUGGUAAGCAAAGGACUAAUGAAAAGAGUGGGAUCAAGAUCAACUAUAUUAGUAUGGAAUAACCUUUGGCUCUCAAUCACUCGCCCGAGAUCAGCAAAUAGUAAUCAUUAUAACCUUUACCCUGACCUAACGGUCUACUAUCUCAUCAAGACAGAAUCACGAACAUAAAAUUCAUAGGUAAUACAGUCUUUGGUGGAUCCCCAAGAUACAAAGAUUAAAGAGAGUAUACCUUUGAGUAAGAUACAACUAGCCAACAUAGACGGAUGACAUUUCACGAAAGAUGAGAACUACACGGUCAAAUCUGGAUACCAAGUGGAACGAGUUUACCUUGAUAAAAAAAACAAAUAUUAGUGUUUUGUCCCACAGUCGCUUCUCUGAAGGCGUUUAUUGGAAAAUAUGAUGUCCACCGAAAAUGAAGCAAUUUCUGUGGCAAAUAGUAUCAGGAUGUAUUGCAGUUAAGAAAAACUUACGAGCGAGAGGAAUGCAAGGGGGCAUAUGUUGUACGAGAUGUGGGGGCACCGAGGAAUCAAUCAACCACAUUUUUUUGAACGUCCACCAGCAAUCCAAGUUUGAGCACUCUAAAAAAUCCCAUCGAAUCGAGCUAUUUUUACUACUCAUCCACUUUUCGCAAAUAUGGAUCAUUUAUUUUGGAGAGUUCUCCGACAAAUGGAAGAUAUCAAUUCAUUGGGAUAUUAUGAUAUAUAUGGAAGGGACGAAAUAAUAAAGUUUUCAGUAACGUGGAUAUUGAUCCAAUGCAUACUUUAAAAUUGAUAGAAACAUAAUCUCUUCUUUGGGCGGAGUAACAAGUUUCACUGACACAAGGGCUUCCUCAAAAUCCUGAGGUAAAUGUCUAUACUUUACGAACUAUACAAGAUAGAUAGUGUUUCACGGAUGGAUCAUAGAAUGACCAGAAAUGUUUUUCAGGAAAAGGUUGGUACAAUACUUUAGAAGGUUUUGAUGGUUUGAUGAGAGCAAAAAAUACAAGGACUAGCUCGUCUUCCUUCACUCAGAAGUGGAAGCGCUCAUUUAGAAAAUGGAAUGUAUGAGAAAUUUACGUCAGUUUCAGGUCACAUUUGCAACAUAUUGUUUUCAGACAUUAAAUCACCUAAACUUUAAAUCAAUAUGGUCUUAGAGUAUCUAGCAUUAAGAUCAUAUCUAGCCUUAAACAUACUAAAAACCAUUAACUAUCUAGUCCAAAAACAUAAAGAUGACUACUCAGUAACCUCCAUGAAAACACAAAUAACUACGAAAACAAUCUGCAUAUUCAUUCAUACAAAGGAAGAUACAUAAUCAAGAAACACUAAGAGAUUAGAGAAAGCUUCCAUAACACAAAUAACUAUAAAAACAGUUUGCAUGCAUAAUUGCAUAAAGCAGGGGGCUAAAGUGUACAUAUGAAAGUUUGGAGUGAAAUCGUAAGGUUAUUUCAGUAACUUAUGAAGUUUAGGGUCCAAAAUGAAAACAAUACAAAGAUCAGGAACCAUACGGCAAUUACGAGGAGGUCUCCUCAAUCGAAAGUUUGGGUUCAAUUUGAAAGGAUAUAAUUUCAAAUCAGAAACAUCUUGGGGAAUGGAAAACGACGAGAAUACAGGGAGGGACCAAGGUUGCGAAUUGAUGGAACAUCUCAAUCGAAGAACACUGUCACGGCUCGGAACUGAGGUCACGAGGGUGCUGGCUUGUAGCGGGUCCCUGCACCGGUGGGAGCUAACGACGAUUGUUUGACCUUGUGCUAGUGAAUCUCCACUCUAAUUUAAACAAACAACAAGAUUGAAGGUGGCUUUAUAAAUAAGUGCGUCUUGGAGCUAUGAGGAUCUACAGCUCUGAGAUUUAUAGCUUAAGCAAUCCGACACGCCUUCCGAUAUGUCUUCUUAUGUUCUUCUCGCUAACUUGAGAGCAGGCCGUUGCUCAAACACCGCUGAAGUUCGUCUUCUGAGGUUCUGGGAAGCUCGCAACGACAGGAAAGAUGGAGAGCUUAUGAGCCUUGACAUGCUUCUCCUUGAUGAACAGUCUACGCUGAUACACAGGAGCAUGAACUCAAGCCGCGUUGACACUUUCCGGAGGCGGCUCAGUGAAGGCUCCGUCUACUCUCUCAGUGGUUUCGACGUGGCACGGGCUAACCAAAAAUUCUGACUCUCUGACUCUCCGGUGUCCAUACGCUUCAAUGAUGGGACUGAGUUAUUCAGGUUUCGCAGCCAUGAACAGCUUCUGGCAUUGGCAAAUACUAACAGAGAACUCCCAGGUUUAUCUCUUCUGUACUAAUACACUUAUCCAAUUGCCUUUUCUCACCUCUAUUAACGUUUGUUUUUUUUAUUUAAAAAAAAAACAAAUUUCAAGAUAUCGUUGGUGAAGUAAGGAGCACGAUCACCGACGUACGCGGUCCUCAGCGUGUAAUGGUGACUCUGCGUUUGGAAGGGUAAGCUGAAUAUUUGUUUAUCCAGUAAUUGACAUCAAACAAACUCAUGUUGUUUUAGCUUUGUCUUUGAUUUCCAUGGUGUGUAUUGGGCAACACUGGAUCUGAAUUGAGUUUCAAACGACAUAUAUUACAGUGCGUAUAGUGCUCUAACGAGAGGAUCAGUCAUACCAUAUACGCUCCACGUUUUGGCUUUGGAUUGAGAUACAACAAUUGCUUGGCUCUCUGUUAUUGAGGAUAACCUGAGAGCAGCACUUGGUAGAAUGGGAUUGAGUUCGCGAGGAAUGGAAGGUGUUAUUGAUCAAGUGCGGAACAAACAUUAUCAGCUUGCAUGCACAAUGACCUUUGAAGCUGUUUAUGGCACAUCGUGUGAUGCUGGUAUCAACCAUCCAAACCAAUACUUCGAGGAGAGUCGGAAGAUUUUGAAAUCCAAGACGCCCCUGCUCCGGUUUAAAUUAUGAAUACGAUGAGGAAUUGUGUUGAAUUAGAAUCACAGUUUUUCAGAAAUUUCAACUCCUGAAAACCAUGCCUGCAGUAUGCACAAACCUUUCGGCU